UACAGAGGUCUCAAGCGUUGUUCGGAUUCAUUGGGCGUAAAGGGUGCGUAGGCGGCGCGGCAAGUCGGGUGUGAAAUCUCGGGGCUUAACUCCGAAACUGCAUUCGAUACUGCCGUGCUUGAGGACUGGAGAGGAAACUGGAAUUUACGGUGUAGCGGUGAAAUGCGUAGAUAUCGUAAGGAAGACCAGUGGCGAAGGCGGGUCUCUGGACAGUUCCUGACGCUGAGGCACGAAGGCCAGGGGAGCAAACGGG
rnacentral:rRNA from 1 species